GAUGAACGCUAGCUACCGUCUUAACACAUGCAAGUCGAGGGGCAUCGGGAAGAAAGCUUGCUUUCUUUGCUGGCGACCGGCGCACGGGUGAGUAACACGUAUCCAACCUGCCCUUUACUCGGGGAUAGCCUUUCGAAAGAAAGAUUAAUACCCGAUAGCAUAAUGAUUCCGCAUGGUUUCAUUAUUAAAGGAUUCCGGUAAAGGAUGGGGAUGCGUUCCAUUAGGUUGUUGGUGAGGUAACGGCUCACCAAGCCUUCGAUGGAUAGGGGUUCUGAGAGGAAGGUCCCCCACAUUGGAACUGAGACACGGUCCAAACUCCUACGGGAGGCAGCAGUGAGGAAUAUUGGUCAAUGGGCGUUAGCCUGAACCAGCCAAGUAGCGUGAAGGAUGAAGGCUCUAUGGGUCGUAAACUUCUUUUAUAUAAGAAUAAAGUGCAGUAUGUAUACUGUUUUGUAUGUAUUAUAUGAAUAAGGAUCGGCUAACUCCGUGCCAGCAGCCGCGGUAAUACGGAGGAUCCGAGCGUUAUCCGGAUUUAUUGGGUUUAAAGGGAGCGUAGGUGGACUGGUAAGUCAGUUGUGAAAGUUUGCGGCUCAACCGUAAAAUUGCAGUUGAUACUGUCAGUCUUGAGUACAGUAGAGGUGGGCGGAAUUCGUGGUGUAGCGGUGAAAUGCUUAGAUAUCACGAAGAACUCCGAUUGCGAAGGCAGCUCACUGGACUGCAACUGACACUGAUGCUCGAAAGUGUGGGUAUCANACAGG
rnacentral:rRNA from 1 species